rnacentral:tRNA from 2 species
CGCCCAUCGUCUAGCGGUUAGGACGCCGCCCUUUCACGGCGGAAACAGGGGUUCGAUUCCCCUUGGGCGUACCA